GCAGGAGGCACAGAUACAGAUAGCACUGUUACAGGUAGGCAGGAGGCACAGAGACAGAUAGCACUGCUACAGGUAGGCAGGAGACACAGAGACAGAUAGCACUGUUACAGGUAGGCAGGAGACACAGAGACAGAUAGCACUGUUACAGGUAGGCAGGAGACACAGAGACAGAUAGCACUGUUACAGGUAGGCAGGAGACACAGAGACAGAUAGCACUGUUACAGGUAGGCAGGAGGCACAGAUACAGAUAGCACUGUUACAGGUAGGCAGGAGGCACAGAUACAGAUAGCACUGUUACAGGUAGGCAGGAGGCACAGAGACAGAUAGCACUGUUACAGGUAGGCAGGAGGCACAGAGACAGAUAGCACUGUUACAGGUAGGCAGGCGGCACAGAUACAGAUAGCACUGCUACAGGUAGGCAGGAGGCACAGAUACAGAUAGCACUGUUACAGGUAGGCAGGAGGCACAGAGACAGAUAGCACUGCUACAGGUAGGCAGGAGACACAGAGACAGAUAGCACUGUUACAGGUAGGCAGGAGGCACAG